UACGUAGGGUGCGAGCGUUAAUCGGAAUUACUGGGCGUAAAGCGUGCGCAGGCGGUUAUAUAAGACAGUUGUGAAAUCCCCGGGCUCAACCUGGGAAUUGCAUCUGUGACUGUGUAGCUAGAGUACGGUAGAGGGGGAUGGAAUUCCGCGUGUAGCAGUGAAAUGCGUAGAUAUGCGGAGGAACACCGAUGGCGAAGGCAAUCCCCUGGACCUGUACUGACGCUUAUGCACGAAAGCGUGGGGAGCAAACAGG
rnacentral:rRNA from 1 species